GUCCAUAGCCAUUCCACCCAGAUCAUGCCUGUCUCGUCUGAUCUCAAAAGGUAAGCAGGGUCAGCCCUGGUUAGUAUUUGAAUGGAAGGCUGCCUGGGAAUACUGAGUGCUGAAGGCU
ensembl:rRNA 5S_rRNA 5S ribosomal RNA